rnacentral:misc_RNA from 1 species
UCUCCGUUGGUGAACCAGCGGAGGGAUCAUUACCGAGUGCAAACUCAUAACCCUUUGUGAACCUAUUUCUGUUGCUUCGGCGGCUCGAUCUCGGGCGAGCCCGCCGGUAAUAUCAGUAUCUCUGUUUGAACCCGACGAUACUUCUGAGUGUUCUUAGCGAACAGUUAAAACUUUUAACAACGGAUCUCUUGGCUCUA